rnacentral:rRNA from 1 species
AUACGGAGGAUGCAAGCGUUAUCCGGAUUUAUUGGGUUUAAAGGGUGCGUAGGCGGUUUGCUAAGCGGGAGGUGAAAUGCCGGCGCUCAACGUCGGAAGUGCCUCCCGAACUGGUGGACUGGAAUGACUCUGCCGUGGGAGGAAUGUGUAGUGUAGCGGUGAAAUGCUUAGAGAUUACACAGAACACCGAUUGCGAAGGCAUCUCACGAAGGGUUGAUUGACGCCGAGGCACGAAAGCGUGGGGAUCAAACAGGAUUAGAUACCCUGGUAGUCCACGCAGUAAACGAUGAUGGCUAACCGCUGGUUUAUUCGGAUCAGUGGCCAAGCGAAAGCGAUAAGCCAUCCACCUGGGGAGUACGACCGCAAGGUUGAAACUCAAAUGAAUUGACGGGG